rnacentral:rRNA from 1 species
UACGUAGGGUGCGAGCGUUAAUCGGAAUUACUGGGCGUAAAGUGUGCGCAGGCGGCCGCGCAAGUCGAGUGUGAAAUCCCCGAGCUUAACUUGGGAAUUGCGCUCGAAACUACGUGGCUGGAGUGUGGCAGAGGAAGGUGGAAUUCCACGUGUAGCGGUGAAAUGCGUAGAGAUGUGGAGGAACACCGAUGGCGAAGGCAGCCUUCUGGGCCAACACUGACGCCCAUGCACGAAAGCGUGGGGAGCAAACAGG